UGGGGAAUAUUGCACAAUGGGCGCAAGCCUGAUGCAGCCAUGCCGCGUGUGUGAAGAAGGCCUUCGGGUUGUAAAGCACUUUCAGCGAGGAGGAAGGUGGUGAGCUUAAUACGCUCAUCAAUUGACGUUACUCGCAGAAGAAGCACCGGCUAACUCCGUGCCAGCAGCCGCGGUAAUACGGAGGGUGCAAGCGUUAAUCGGAAUUACUGGGCGUAAAGCGCACGCAGGCGGUUUGUUAAGUCAGAUGUGAAAUCCCCGGGCUCAACCUGGGAACUGCAUUUGAAACUGGCAAGCUAGAGUCUCGUAGAGGGGGGUAGAAUUCCAGGUGUAGCGGUGAAAUGCGUAGAGAUCUGGAGGAAUACCGGUGGCGAAAGGCGGCCCCCUGGACGAAGACUGACGCUCAGGUGCGAAAGCGUGGGGAGCAAAACAGGAUUAGAUACCCCGGUAGUCCACGCUGUAAAACGAUGUCGAUUUUGGAGGUUGUGCCCUUGAGGCGUGGCUUCCGGAGCUAACGCGUUAAAUCGACCGCCUGGGGAGUACGGCCGC
rnacentral:rRNA from 1 species